UGAUGAUUAUAUAGAAUUUCACUCUCUAUGCUUUCUGUUUUGUCAUGAAGAGAGAAUGGGUACUUACCUUCUGCAAAAUUGAGUACUGGAUCAUAAAGCGUGAGGCUUUGGUUAUGAUGUUUUUGAUGUUGGGUUGUCAUUGAGCGGUGGGCAGGCAAAGAAGCUCAAAGUUGUGGUACUCGAGCAGCUCAACCGACAGUUGGUGCUGAAGAAGAUUUUGACGAUUUUCUUAGGUGGCUUGAAAGAUACGAAAUGGAAUCCCAAGGAGUGGAUCCUAAGAGGGGUUGGGGAUUUCGUGGUGUGCACAAGGUAUUUUUACUCAGUUGAAUGAUAUAGUUUCCUUGUGUAUGUGGACGCAUAUGUCUGCAAAUACAUCUGCAUUGUGUCAUAACGUGUAAAGAUUACUAGGGUAAUUUGACCAGAGCUUCCAAACCAUGUUUACUCCAACUGAAUGUUAUAGUUUCCAUGUGUAUGUGGACCUGUCAUAUCUCAGUGAGGUGUUGAUACAUACUGGAUUACUGGUAGUUCAAUCCUUUCUCUAA
rnacentral:lncRNA from 1 species